rnacentral:rRNA from 1 species
AGUGAACGCUGGCGGUAGGCCUAACACAUGCAAGUCGAACGGCAGCACAGGAGAGCUUGCUCUCUGGGUGGCGAGUGGCGGACGGGUGAGGAAUACAUCGGAAUCUACCUUUUCGUGGGGGAUAACGUAGGGAAACUUACGCUAAUACCGCAUACGACCUACGGGUGAAAGUGGGGGACCGCAAGGCCUCACGCGAUUGG